rnacentral:snRNA from 1 species
AGCAUGCCUGUCGGGACCCGAA